rnacentral:rRNA from 1 species
GACGAACCGUGCGAACGUUGUUCGGAUUCACUGGGCUUAAAGGGCGCGUAGGCGGGUCAGCAAGUCUGGGGUGAAAUCCUUCGGCUCAACCGGAGAAGUGCCCCCGAUACUGCUGGUCUGGAGGGAGGUAGGGGUGUGUGGAACUUCCGGUGGAGCGGUGAAAUGCGUAGAUAUCGGAAGGAACGCCGGUGGCGAAGGCGGGUCUCUGGGCAACAACUGACGCUGAGGAGCGAAAGCGUGGGGAGCGAACAGG